UCCUCUAUGUCACCUGUUGCUGCCUUUAAAGGGGAUAGAAGAAGCGAACGUGAUUUGUCAAUACUGAAGCUGCUGAUUCUGAAUUCCUCCUGCUGAUGUUGUAUUCAGGGUCCUGUCUUCCACGUUCCACCAGCUGUGCCCGUUUUGCUCCGAUGCCUGCGGUCACCAAAACUGCAGAAAUGUGCAGCAGCUGCCAGUGUUUUCCAGUCGGUUGCCCUUCCGACACCCGCCAGUGCAUUUCUGUCCACAUCCCGGCUGACUCCAGUUCCAGCUCCUCCGUUGGCAUCCUGGCCGACCAGCCCCGGUGUUUCUUUGUUGGCGACCUGGCCGACUAACCCUGGUGCUUUAGUAUGUUCCGUGUUCGUCCAUGUUCUCCCAUGAUGCCACCCUGUGUUUCCCGCCUGCAUCAUCUCCAGUGUCUCCUAGUGUCCCCAUGCAUGUAGUCUGCCGUACUGUUGCUCUUCGUCCUCCUCAGUGACUGAGAGAAGGACAGAAAAAUGGAGGAGAGAAUGAAUGUUCAUACGUAUUUCAGACAUCCAGAGGAGAAGAAAAGGUUUUUAGGGAAAGAAAAUCUGCCACAUUUCUCUGUCCAUCCUGGGGGUCCUCAGUGAGAGACUGACAAACAGGGCAGACUCCCAGAAGGACAAGAGAAAAAUGAAUGAAUGAAUGAAUUCAUGAAAAGUGGUAAUCAUUAUUUAAUGCCACAGAUUUUUACAAAUGUGUACAGAUUUGACAGCAAAUUGUCUUGCAUUUUCUGAGAUUAAAAGUAAAUCAAAAUUUGAAAUAAA